CAGGGAGUCACAGAGUCAGGAAACAGGUUGCUUCAGGCUAUGGACACCCUCCCCCGGGGAGAAAUGAGCAGCCCCAAGCACUGCUCACUCCAGCUGGGUCCUCAUGGAUUUGAGAAGAGGCUGUUACAUUAAUUGGGACUCUUGGUGGCAAGAGGUAGACACCCAACUUGAGCAAACUUGAGAAAAAAAAAAAAAACAGAAGAAAGAAUCUAUUGAGAGGACAGUCAAGCCAUAAGAAAUUCAGAUUCUGCUGGGCAUCAGGAACAACUAGAGAAGGUGCUGACCAUCAUCUAAGCCAAGCCUCUAUCUCCUGUCUCUGCCUUUCUCUGGUAAUUUCCAAAAUUCUGUUCCACCAUCUAUGUAGACCUGACCCAGAAGGGAUGAAUAGAAGAGAAUGUCUAUUCCUAAGUGGAUGUUGGUCUCCUUGAAUGCACUAUAACAUUAUGCAGGACAAAGGAGACCUUCAAAAGCUUUAACUCCAAUGUUAAUAAAAGCAAGAGGAAUACGA